CACUUUGAAGACACAACACUUAGCAUCAGUAAGGUUACACACAAAGAGAGUAUGGAAUAAGAUGUCUCUCACUUUCAAUACCCAUUACUUAUAGGUAGUAGUUGCUGCCCUAAAAAACAACUUCCACUCUUUGAUUUUUACACAUGUGGCUCUAGGAUCCUUUUGGCAUUUCAGAAGCCUCAAGGGUAUCCUAUGACACAUACUAAUGACUCAUACUUAGUCUUUGGAUAUUCCCUUGUUAAUACUUUAUCCUUUUGACUUUGACUCUUGGUCCAUGACUUUGUCAUAUAUCCAUUGGAUGCCCUUAUC
rnacentral:lncRNA from 1 species